GUUUAGGUAGUUUAAUUAAAAUUCUGGUUUGUGGUACCAGGAAUGAUUGGGUAUCUUCAGUCUCUAGACC
rnacentral:tRNA from 1 species